AACGAACGCUGGCGGCAUGCCUAACACAUGCAAGUCGAACGAGACCUUCGGGUCUAGUGGCGCACGGGUGCGUAACGCGUGGGAACCUGCCUUUAGGUUCGGAAUAACUCAGAGAAAUUUGAGCUAAUACCGGAUAAUGUCUUCGGACCAAAGAUUUAUCGCCUUUAGAUGGGCCCGCGUAAGAUUAGCUAGUUGGUGGGGUAAAGGCCUACCAAGGCGACGAUCUUUAGCUGGUCUGAGAGGAUGAUCAGCCACACUGGGACUGAGACUCGGCCCAGACUCCUACGGGAGGCAGCAGUGGGGAAUAUUGGACAAUGGGCGAAAGCCUGAGUCCAGCAAUGCCGCGUGAGUGAUGAAGGCCUUAGGGUUGUAAAGCUCUUUUACCCGAGAUGAUAAUGACAGUAUCGGGAGAAUAAGCUCCGGCUAACUCCGUGCCAGCAGCCGCGGUAA
rnacentral:rRNA from 1 species